GGACUACUGGGGUAUCUAAUCCUGUUCGCUCCCCACGCUUUCGCGCCUCAGCGUCAGUAUUAUGCCAGGUGUCUGCCUUCGCCAUCGACGUUCCUUCCGAUCUCUACGCAUUUCACCGCUACACCGGAAAUUCCGACACCCUCUCAUAUACUCUAGUCGCACAGUUUGCGAUGCUCUUCCCAGGUUAAGCCCGGGGCUUUCACAUCACACAUAUACAACCGCCUACGCGCCCUUUACGCCCAGUAACUCCGAUUAACGCUCGCACCCUCUGUAUUACCGCGGCUGCUGGCAC
rnacentral:rRNA from 1 species